rnacentral:rRNA from 1 species
UGGGGAAUCUUGCACAAUGGGCGGAAGCCUGAUGCAGCGACGCCGCGUGCGGGACGAAGGCCUUCGGGCUGUAAACCGCUUUCAGCAGGGACGAGGCGAAAGUGACGGUACCUGCAGAAGAAGCCCCGGCUAACUACGUGCCAGCAGCCGCGGUAAUACGUAGGGGGCAAGCGUUAUCCGGAUUCAUUGGGCGUAAAGCGCGCGUAGGCGGCCAGCCUGGUCGGGAGUCAAAUCCGGGGGCUCAACCCCCGUCCGCUCCCGAUACCGGCCGGCUUGAGUCUGGCAGGGGAGGGCGGAAUUCCCGGUGUAGCGGUGGAAUGCGCAGAUAUCGGGAAGAACACCGGUGGCGAAGGCGGCCUUCUGGGCCACGACUGACGCUGAGGCGCGAAAGCUAGGGGAGCGAACAGG